AUCAGCUAAGGAGUGUCGUGACAGUACCCCCCCCUUAAGGAGCGACUCCUGGCGCUCCAAAACCCCAAGAUCCCCCACGGGUGACAGAAGAAAAACAGGGUCACCCAACCAGUAGAGGAAAACAAGGAGGAGGUUCAGGAGGAAUAAGAGGCGGAGAAUCCCACGGGAGAAACCAACGAGUCAGAAUAGAAACAUACAAGAGCAAGGACUGUAGAGUAACAUUUAGC